AUUGAACGCUGGCGGCAGGCCUAACACAUGCAAGUCGAGCGCGAAAUCACUUCGGUGAGAGUAGAGCGGCGGACGGGUGAGUAAUGCUUGGGAAUCUGCCCGAUAGUGGGGGAUAACGUGUGGAAACGCACGCUAAUACCGCGUACGCCCUAAGGGGGAAAGCAGGGGAUCUUCGGACCUUGCGCUAUCGGAUGAGCCCAAGUCGGAUUAGCUAGUUGGUGGGGUAAAGGCUCACCAAGGCGACGAUCCGUAGCUGGUCUGAGAGGAUGAUCAGCCACAUCGGGACUGAGACACGGCCCGA
rnacentral:rRNA from 1 species